GGGUGCGUAGCUCAGUGGUAGAGCGCUGUCCUGAUAAGACAGAGGUCCCAGGUUCGAUCCCUGGCGCACCCA
rnacentral:tRNA from 1 species